AUGGCGCAUGAUGAAGCUGUGGCUGCCCAGAAGACUGGAAAAUCAGGUUCACCUCCUAAGGAUCAACCAGCUCCCAGUCCAUAUCCUGAUUGGUCGGCCAUGCAGGCAUACUACGGUUCUGGUGUCAUGCCACCGGCAUAUUUUGCCCCAGCCAUAGCUGCGGGUCAUCCACCUCCACCGUAUAUGUGGGGUCCUCAGCAUAUGAUGCCACCCCCUUUUGGAACGCCAUAUGCAAUGUACCCACAUGGUGGAGCUUACCCGCACCCGCUUGUGCCCAUGAUGGCAAGUCCAUUGAGCGUGGAGCCAGCCAAAUCUGCAAACAGUAAGGAUAAAAGUUCCAAUAAGAAACUUAAGGAAAUUGAUGGGUCUGCAGUAUCUACCGGCAGUGGUAACAGUAAAAAAACAUCAUCCAGUGGGGAUUAUAGUGGAGAAGGCUCCAGUGAUGUUAAUGAUCUGAAGGUGAGCGGGACUCCUAGGAAACGGAGCUUGGAUGGUGGAUUUGACGCAGAAGCAACCGCGGCAGCAAGGAAUAAAGAUGUUGUAGCUUCUAGUCCUAUAAUUCGAAAUGGCGCAAUUUUGUCAAAUCAGUGCUUUCCAGCUCCAGUCAUUAAACCCAGUGUUACGAAUGUUGCUAAUUCAAGGGCAAUAGGCACACCAGUGUCUCCAUUGCCAGGUGUUAUGGGUCCAAUUCAUACCGGAAUAUCAACUGAAUUAUCAUCUAAGGAUGAGAGGGAAGUAAAGCGUGAAAAGAGAAAGCAAUCAAAUAGGGAAUCUGCUAGACGGUCGAGGCUGAGAAAGCAGGCUGAGACAGAGGAAUUGGCCACACAAGUAGAAUCGCUUACAGCUGAGAACACGUCUCUAAAAUCUGAAAUCGGCAAGCUAACGAAAAGCUCCGAGAAGCUCAGAAUAGAGAAUUCUGCUCUAGUGAUGAAACUUAAGGGCACCGCAGCACCGACCAGCGCAGAAAUGCCUCUGGACAAAUCAGCAGUUGCUGCACCCUCCUCCUCUCCUCGUGUCGUGGAGAAUUUCUUGUCGAUGAUCGACGACACAAGCAAGUCAGGUGUAAAAAACCACAUGGAGCACAGCGAGCCCAAGCUCCGCCAGCUCCUCGGCUCCAGCGCGACAACGGAUGUCGUGGCUGCAAACUGA
rnacentral:rRNA from 1 species